CCUACGGGCGGUAGCAGUGGGGAAUAUUGGACAAUGGGGGGAACCCUGAUCCAGCCAUGCCGCGUGUGUGAAGAAGGCCCUCGGGUUGUAAAGCACUUUCAGUGAGGAAGAACGCCUGGUGGUUAAUACCCAUCAGGAAAGACAUCACUCACAGAAGAAGCACCGGCUAACUCCGUGCCAGCAGCCGCGGUAAUACGGAGGGUGCGAGCGUUAAUCGGAAUUACUGGGCGUAAAGCGCGCGUAGGUGGCUUGAUAAGCCGGUUGUGAAAGCCCCGGGCUCAACCUGGGAACGGCAUCCAGAACUGUCAAGCUAGAGUGCAGGAGAGGAAGGUAGAAUUCCCGGUGUAGCGGUGAAAUGCGUAGAGAUCGGGAGGAAUACCAGUGGCGAAGGCGGCCUUCUGGACUGACACUGACACUGAGGUGCGAAAGCGUGGGUAGCAAACAGGAUUAGAUACCCUAGUAGUC
rnacentral:rRNA from 1 species